AUGAUCCUGUGGCUGAAUUUGGUGCCCUUGUUAGUGCUACUUCAAGGAGUUCGAUCUGAGGUCCAGUUAGUGGAGUCCAGAGGGGAUGUGAGAAGACCUGGGGAGUCCCUCCGUCUCUCCUGCCAAGCUUCUGGAUUCACCUUCAGCGACUAUGGGAUGCACUGGGUGAGACAGGCUCCUGGGAAAGGACUGGAAUGGGUAGCCACCAUACGUACAAGAUCAUCUCCUUUAACUCACUACCCAGACAAAUUCAAGGAACGCUUCACAAUCUCCAGUGACGAUUCUCGCAGCCAGCUGUAUCUGCAAAUGAACAGCCUCAAACUAGAGGAUUCUGCAGUUUAUUACUGUGUGAGACACACACAGUGA